rnacentral:rRNA from 1 species
AUUGAACGCUGGCGGCAUGCUUUACACAUGCAAGUCGAACGGCAGCGCGGGCUUCGGCCUGGCGGCGAGUGGCGAACGGGUGAGUAAUACAUCGGAACGUGCCCAGUAGUGGGGGAUAGCUCGGCGAAAGCCGGAUUAAUACCGCAUACGACCUGAGGGUGAAAGCGGGGGAUCUUCGGACCUCGCGCUAUUGGAGCGGACGAUGGCAGAUUAGCUAGUUGGUGGGGUAAAGGCCUACCAAGGCGACGAUCUGUAGCUGGUCUGAGAGGACGGCCAGCCACACUGGGACUGAGACACGGCCCAGACUCCUACGGGAGGCAGCAGUGGGGAAUUUUGGACAAUGGGCGAAAGCCUGAUCCAGCAAUGCCGCGUGUGUGAUGAAGGCCUUCGGGUUGUAAAGCACUUUUGGCGGGAACGAAAAGGACUGUGCCAAUACCACGGUUCGAUGACGGUACCCGCAGAAUAAGCACCGGCUAACUACGUG